GAAACAGAAACAGGGAAGAACCAUGAAUUCCAGGCAUAUGGUAACCAGCGGUCAUCAACUGGUGUUCCCCGGACCACAGGAAGAAGCUGAGAAGAAAGAACAUCACUAAAGAGACAGUUGAAAACUGACAGUUAAGGAGAACUUUGGAAAAAAGAAUAUUUCCUAGAAGAUCUCAUCUCCAGGACUAUGUCUGAGAAAUUGUGACAUCUUAUGCUGCGAAUAUCUUAUAAUGGAAUCGUGGAUCCUGGAUUUUCGACGCAUUCUGCAAAGUAGCCCUUUAGAGGUCUGUCGAUUCAAAAAUGGUUGCCCUGUGAUGCACUGUUUCGUCCAAUUUAAGAAAUAUACAAGACCCACAAGAACAGCCUGGAACAUUAAGAUUUUUCAAAGUCAAUCAGGAUAGUCCAGAGAGGAAUCAUUCCAACAUGGAAUUUAUUUGUAAGAUGUUCAUUUCUCAGUCUGACCCUACAUGUCUUUCAACAGUUUAACCCAUUGCUGAUGUUACUGAGUCUA